rnacentral:lncRNA from 1 species
UUUGUUAUAUUCUCAGUUAUGGUAUGCUGACCAUGUGGGCACAUAUGUGGCUUGAGGGCACCCACGCAAGUAUUCAACAGGGCACUUUUAAUACGGGGGCAGUUGAGCUGCCUGCCUAUGCUGCCUUGUGACAGCUGUUGUUUGAAGGCUUCUUGGCCCACCCUCUACUAUUGUGGGCUGAUGUUUUCUACUAGAUUACAUUUGCUUUGAAAUACAUUACAGUCCCAGCUCUCCUGAGACGUGAAAGCUGUGUUCUUGCAGUUACACUAUGCAACUUAGUCUGGAAAGUAGCCAGAUAAUGCAGUCACAACUGUAUUUGUGAAUAUGACAGUAGGGGUUGAAAAAGAUAUUAAACCUUAGGCUUUAGACCUUAAGCCAGUCUGUAGUUGACUCGGGUCAGAACAGGGUGAACAAGAACGUUUCUGCCAUCCUGUGACUUCACUGUGUUGCAUCCGAGAGGUAGUCCACGGUGGUCCCCUGUGUCUGAGCAGCACAAAACAGCUUCCAUAGCAGCACCUGGUCACUAGGUGCUCAUCCCUACAAUUAAUAACAUUGUCAACCGUGCUGAUAAUGUUAUUAAUCACAGGGUGGCAGCACAUUCAAGUUUCAGCCUAAUCAGGAUUCAAAAUUCUUAUGUCCUCAGUGCUGUACAUUCAUAAAUGCAUGUUUCCUGCCCCAAAUGCUUUGGAACAGCUUCAGUGGGAUGUUGGAUUGUCUGGUUGAUUCAGUGUCUUUGUACCUUGAGGAUCCCCUCACCCUGAGCACAAGUCUGUCAAAGUCAAUUCUAACAGCUGGUGAAGCCCUUCAGAUCAGGAACAAAGUUCAAUGUACCUUCACCUCCCCAUUUCCAUUCAGCAAUGACUCAAUUUGCAAUACAUUAGAAAAAGUUCAUGGAGUUCUGGACCAACAGCACUGCAAAAGUUCCUGGGUCUAAUAACGAUGAAACUCUCAGACCUCCAGAUUCACCUCCAUCCUAUUGCUUUACAGUUCCUAAAUGAACAAUCCAAUUUACUACAAGUCUGUCAAAGAAAGUGAGGCUACUUGAUGGCUGGAAACAAAAAACAUGAAGUAGAGGGCAAUUAACAAAGGCAAAAAAAUGUCACGUUGACUUGGUUUUUACUUUAUCUCACUGCUGCCAGCUCUUUGUAAACCUCAAUUAAGCAGAGAGCAUGUUUACACAGCCCAGGCAGCAUGUUCCUACAUGAAAAGCAGUAUUUUUAAUUAAAUGUGCUCUUCCUUUGUCAUAGUCUGCUGCAAUUUACAGUGUUUUUCAUUCUCUUUUAUACUGAACUUCUUAUCUCUUCUUGUUUUCCAGUCAAGAGCUUUUCUUCUCAAAUUCAUAAUGUUCUCUGUAAUAUUUGCGUAGUUCUGGUUGACAGGAUCAGUGUCAUAUUAAGGUUCCUUAGAUUUCCAUACAAACUCUGGUUUCGGUUAGACUUCAUAUCAGUACCCUGGCCGUUUUGCCCUUCAGCUACUGCAACACAGAGACUGGCCAAAGGGGUACUCUAGGAAUUAUGCACUAAUUAUUAUCCUCAAUGAUUCUUCAUAAGCAAUUCAAUUUGAGUAUUUACAUUACUAACUGGAGAAGUUUUGACAAAGCAAACAGAUCACUUGGUAUAUUUUGUCUUUGUUACUUCUCAGAACCACACGUCUAUAGUCCACACUCGCUUCAGUGCAUAUGCUAUCUUGAAACUGAUUUUCAUCAUAAUUAUACUCAGCAAAAACUUAUGUGAAGCAUGUCUUUGAGGAAAACAUUCUAGUAACCAAAUACUUUCACUAGAAAGUGUGCAGACUAAUGUCAGAGGAGGACUCUGGGACACUCUAAGAUUUGUGCCCUCAGUGGAGACUCUCACACCUUGUAAGAAGUGUCAGUGCUUCCAUGGAGGGUCCCCAGUUGGAUCGGGGGAUGUUGGAAGUAAUUCAUAAAGAACAUG